UACGUAGGUGGCAAGCGUUGUCCGGAAUUACUGGGCGUAAAGCGCGCGUAGGCGGCUUUGUAAGUUAGAGGUGAAAGCCCGGGGCUCAACCCCGGAACUGCCUUUAAAACUGCAUCGCUUGAAUCCGGGAGAGGUGAGUGGAAUUCCCAGUGUAGCGGUGAAAUGCGUAGAUAUUGGGAGGAACACCAGUGGCGAAGGCGGCUCACUGGACCGGUACUGACGCUGAUGCGCGAAAGCGUGGGGAGCAAACAGG
rnacentral:rRNA from 1 species